AUGGUACUUAGACACGUCAGGAUUUUUGCUACUUUGGAACAGGUGAUUUUCCACAUGAUUGAGCACCUGAUCCCAUCAGCAUUCCCAGAGCCCUGUCAGGAAUUCUGCUCUGAAACGUGUAUUUCCAAUGGGCACCACCUUGUUUCUUCCUUGCUGGUGAGUCCCUGGGGGCGCGGGUCCUGGGCAGGGUUUGGGGGCCCCAAUGGGGGUGCCCAGCCAGUGCAGGAGGGAGCCUGGUUAGUGACCCGUGGUGUCAUCUGCACCCCGCCCCCAGCAGCCUUCUCAGGCUCUAGGUUUCUUUUGCAAACGGAGCUCUUGAUUUCUCUACCCUCCCUCACCCCCCACAUCCAAGUUUUCUGGGUCUGAAAGGAAAGAGCUAACAAACAAACAAACAAACCCCCUGAAGGACAGGAUAUGUCCGGUGCUUCUGGGCCUGCGGUACCCCCCAACAUCACAGCUGCAAAGUGGAAGCUGGGCUGGCAGAGAACCACUUCCCGAGGGAGUGGAGUGGGCUCCCUGCAGCUGGUGGUGGGCCAACACCCUCUCAGCUGGAGGGCCAGAUGGACUGACAUUUACUCCUCGGUGGUUACCUUUCCUUCAGGCAAUGCUCCCUAUUCUGACCUGCCAUUUGGGAAGCUCAAAUAAUCAUAAAAACGCAUAAAUACCAACAGCAGGUGAUGGACCUGGAGCUGGCUGGCAGGAUGAUUUGGUUUAAUUCAGUCAGCUGGUGUUUCUGUGCCACUCCCAUUUUUUUUUUUUUUAAAGUAGGGAAGAAAGUUUUAUAAAGGAACACCCCCUCUCACCACCACCCCCAGCUAGGAAACACCCAGGAUCCUUUUUUAAAAAAAUUUUAUUUAAAUUCAAUUUGCCAACAUACAGUGCUCAUCCCAUCGUGUGCCCUCCUCAGUGCCCAUCACCCGGCUACCCCAUCCCCCCACCCCCCUCCCCUUCUGCAACCCUUUGUUUGUUUCCCAGAGUGGUUUGUCUCCCUCUCUAAUUUUUACCCGCUCAGCUUCCCUCCUUUCCCUUAUGGUCCCUUUCAUUAUUUCUUAUAUUUCUCGUAUGAGUGAAACCAUAUGAUGAUUGCCUUUCUCUGAUUGACUUCCAUUACUCAGCAUAAUACCCUCCAGUUCCAUCCAGGUUGAAAUAAAUGGUAGGUACUCAUCCUUUCUGAUGGCUGA
rnacentral:lncRNA from 12 species